UACGUAGGCAGCAAGCGUUGUUCGGAGUUCCUGGGCGUAAAGGGUGUGUAGGCGGUUGGAUAAGUGUGGUGUGAAAUCUCCCGGCUUAACUGGGAGGGUGCGCUACAAACUGUCUGACUAGAGUGUGGGAUGGGUAAGUGGAAUUCCUGGUGUAGCGGUGAAAUGCGUAGAUAUCAGGAGGAACACCAAUAGCGAAGGCAGCUCGCUGGGACGUUACUGACACUGAGGCGCGAAAGCGUGGGGAGCGAACAGG
rnacentral:rRNA from 1 species